UCACUCACUACUUCGUCUUCAAGAAACACGUAAAUAUACUCAGCAUAAUUCGUAAUAACGAGAACUUCCUUUAAUUUCAGGUGAGUAAAGCGGGCAACCUUCAUGAAGAGUACUGAGGCCCACUCUACAAAUAUUGGUAGUCCUAGGGCAAACUGUUCACAUAUGUGGGUUUUUUAACCAGAUGA
rnacentral:lncRNA from 1 species